CAGUGUUGGGUUCAGUGUGUCUCAUUGCUGUAAUCUGUGUAUUAGUGUUGCUGCUAAAGUGGAUAAAAGAUGCCUCGUCCAGAAAACCCCCAGUAACUGACCCUGAAACCAGCAGAACUCCCUUAAAGACACCACCACCAUCCAAACAGUCAAACUCGUCAACCAGCUCACCAACCAGCUCAACAACCAAG